rnacentral:tRNA from 2 species
GCGUCUGUAGCUCAGUUGGUUAGAGCACCACCUUGACAUGGUGGGGAUCGAUGGUUCGAGUCCAUUCAGACGCACCA